AAAUGCUACUUACUAAACCAGUUCAGGACCACGCCUUUCAAAGUGGAUUUUCUUCUUCACUUUGAAUAGAAACAUGUCCUGAAAUGGUGUUAGCACUGAAGGGGCACAUAUCUGCCAUCUAUUGGUGGGAGGUGGUAACAAGAUUUGGAAACUAUCUGGAGUUAUGGUCUGUUUCAAUCAGACUUAGUGUAUUGUGUG